rnacentral:rRNA from 1 species
CAGCUUACACAUGCAGUCGAGGGGUAUAGAAGGCUUACUUUCUAGAGACCGGCAAACGGGUGCGGAACACGUACACAACCUACCUUUAUCAGGGGAAUAGCCCAGAGAAAUUUGGAUUAAUGCCCCAUAGUAUAUUUUGAUGGCAUCAUUAGAAUAUUAAAGAACUUCGGAUAGAGAUGGGUGUGCGUAAGAUUAGCUAGUUGGUAAGGUAACGGCUUACCAAGGCGACGAUCUUUAGCUGAUGCGAGAGCAUGAUCAGCCACACGGGCACUGAGACACGGGCCCGACUCCUACGGGAGGCAGCAGUGAGGAAUAUUGGUCAAUGGACGGAAGUCUGAACCAGCCAUGCCGCGUGAAGGAUGAAGGCGUUCUGCGUUGUAAACUUCUUUUAUCUGAGAAGAAACCACCGAUUUCUAUUGGUGUUGACGGUAUCAGAUGAGUAAGCACCGGCUAACUCCGUGCCAGCAGCCGCGGUAAUACGGAGGGUGCAAGCGUUAUCCGGAUUUACUGGGUUUAAAGGGUGUGUAGGCGGACUUAUAAGUCAGGGGUGAAAUCUCCGAGCUCAACUCGGAAACUGCCUUUGAUACUAUUAGUCUUGAAUUAUGUUGAGGUUGGCGGAAUAUAACAUGUAGCGGUGAAAUGCAUAGAUAUGUUAUAGAACACCGAUUGCGAAGGCAGCUGGCUAAACAUAUAUUGACGCUGAGGCACGAAAGCGUGGGUAGCGAACAGGAUUAGAU